rnacentral:rRNA from 1 species
CGGGUGAGUAACGCGUGGAUAACCUGCCUUGCACUGGGGGAUAACACUUAGAAAUAGGUGCUAAUACCGCAUAAGCGCACAGCUUCGCAUGAAGCAGUGUGAAAAACUCCGGUGGUAUACGAUGGAUCCGCGUCUGAUUAGCUGGUUGGCGGGGUAAAGGCCCACCAAGGCGACGAUCAGUAGCCGGCCUGAGAGGGUGAACGGCCACAUUGGGACUGAGACACGGCCCAAACUCCUACGGGAGGCAGCAG